rnacentral:sRNA from 1 species
GCGUAGCUUGUCUUGAAAUGAUGCCGG